rnacentral:lncRNA from 1 species
GAGAAAAUAAAAUCUUGUACACUAUUAGGAAAUGAGAAGGUUUUAUCUACAGAACUGUCAAGUAAUCCAAAUGUGAAUUUUAAAGUUACAAACAGAAAUGAGUCGCAAAACAUGGAUGUUAAUACCACAGAUAAUUUGAGUAUCAAGUCUGAUGGUUCACUAGUGGUUCUAAGGAAUGUAGAAGUUCCACUUUUUGGAGCUUCAAGUAAUUCAAAUGUGACUCUCGAAGGUGACGAUUUGGACAAUUAUGAUAGCGACAAUUCUUUGGAAGAUCGGGAUUAUUCACCACGAACUUCGUCGCCAUCAUGUGGUUCAUCUAUCGCAGAGGAGUUGGAUAAUCUGCCUGCAACACCAGCUAAUCUAAACCCAAGUAUUUCGAUGUCAGAGAGUACUCAAAAAAGAAAGGUAAAACAAAAAACUCUUAUUAAACAAAGUGGGCGUAAAAGGAUGCGCCACAAAGAAAAUUGGCAAUCAUCAAUCCGGAAAGAGCGGUAUGCUAGUGGCCAAGCCUAUACCAGUAAGAAAGGCAAAGAAGUAUUAGCAAGACAAAUGAAAGAUGCAUGCAAAUGUCGGAUGAAAGGUUUUGAAAUAAUUUCAAAAGAUGAGAGGCAAAAUAUUUUUGGAACUUACUGGAGCAAGGAAAAGUCCGUGGAUACUAAACGACAAUACAUUCGUUCAUGCGCAUUGAAGUCAAAAAUACUCAACGUAAUAGAAGCAGGGAUGGCGUCCGAACAAAGAAUAAUACACUUGUCUAUAGUUUUGUUAUUAGAAAUAAUGUGACCAUCAAAGUUUGUAAGCUAAUGUUUUUGAACACAUUAGCAACAUCUAAUACAGUAGUUGUUAAUACUUUUAAAAAGUCAGGAGGGAGGUAUGGUGGAAGAAGAUAAACGGAGUAAACAUAUUCCGGGAAAUAAAACACCUGAAAAUAUACGCCUGCAUGUUAAACAACACAUCGAGGGCAUACCAUCCUAUGAGAGUCAUUACUCUAGAGAACGGACUGCAAAGAAAUAUCUGGGCUCCGAUCUUACACUGGAAAAAUUAUACCAGCUUUAUCUUGAGUGGUGUACAGAACAUGACAUUUCAAAGGAAUUGGUUGCCAAAAAAUGGUUUUAUUCAAAGGUUUUCAACACAGAAUAUAAUUUAUCUUUUAAGUCACCAGAAAAUGACACAUGUGAUGAUUGUGAUACCUUAAUUGCAAAAAUUACAUCAAGCAAAUCGGAAACUGACAAAAAUCAAUUGCAGAUUCAACAUGACGCUCACAUACAGGAAUCGAAAAUUCGGUACCAUCUAAAGCAUGAUGACAUAGAAAGGUCUAAAACUGAAAACCAUGUAAGAAUUCUGACAGUAGAUUUACAAAAAUGUUUACCCACUCCUCUUCUUACUUGUGGCCUUAGCUUUUACAAAAGGAAGUUAUGGACACUGAAUUUCACAAUCUACGACGCAACUACAGGUCUGGCGCAUAAUAUGAUGGAUAAUAUGUGGGAUGAAACUAAGUAAUUAAUCAUCAAUUUUUAUUGAAAGGCCACACCCAUAUGGAGGCAGACACAGUGCAUGCUGUUAUUGAAUGGAAGAAAAAGAAUUUAUUAGGUCUAGAAAUUAUGACUCCGUGGGACUGGCAGCAAUUCAUUAGGCAAUGCUCCCCAAAAUUCAUUGUAGAAAAUAUGGUGCAAGAUUUUUUUAACGUGAAAAAGAACUUUACGGGACUCUCAAAAACUCACCAUUUAUCGCCAGGAAAAUCGACACAG